rnacentral:rRNA from 1 species
UACGGAGGGGGCUAGCGUUGUUCGGAAUUACUGGGCGUAAAGCGCACGUAGGCGGCUUUGUAAGUUAGAGGUGAAAGCCCGGAGCUCAACUCCGGAAUUGCCUUUAAGACUGCAUCGCUAGAACGUCGGAGAGGUGAGUGGAAUUCCGAGUGUAGAGGUGAAAUUCGUAGAUAUUCGGAAGAACACCAGUGGCGAAGGCGACUCACUGGACGACUGUUGACGCUGAGGUGGCGAAAGCGUGGGGAGCAAACAGG